GAUGAAGAACGCAGCGAAAUGCGAUAAGUAGUGUGAAUUGCAGAAUUCAGUGAAUCAUCGAAUCUUUGAACGCACAUUGCGCCCCUCGGCACUCCGGGGGGCAUGCCUGUCCGAGCGUCAUUGCACCCCUCGAGCCCCCCGUGGCUUGGUCGUGAGCCGCGCCCGCGCCAGCCCCGUCCCCCCCCGUGCAGCGGGGGGCAGGGGCGCCGGGCGGGCUCGAAACGCAGUGGCGGCCCCCGGGCGACUUCCAGCGCGAUGACAUGUUUCGCUGCCGAAGCCUUCGCCCCGGGCGCCCGCCAGGCAACCCCCGUGCUUCUUACGCGGUUGACCUCGGAUCAGGCAGGGAUACCCGCUGAACUUAAGCAUAUCAAUAAGCGGAGGA
rnacentral:misc_RNA from 1 species